rnacentral:rRNA from 1 species
GACGGAGGAUGCAAGUGUUGUCCGGAAUCACUGGGCGUAAAGCGUCUGUAGGUGGUCAAAUAAGUCAACUGUUAAAUCUUGAGGCUUAACCUCAAAAUCGCAGUCGAAACUAUUAGACUAGAGUAUAGUAGGGGUAAAGGGAAUUUCCAGUGGAGCGGUGAAAUGCGUAGAGAUGUGGAGGAACACCGAUGGCGAAGGCAGCCCCCUGGGUCAAGAUUGACGCUCAUGCACGAAAGCGUGGGGAGCAAACAGG